rnacentral:lncRNA from 10 species
CUGCACUUAUGUGGGUGGUUUCUUUCAGCUCUUCUGGUCCUCCUUUGAUGGCUGACUCCUGUCACUUAGGAUCAAGACACAAAUCUCAGUGACACCGGCAUAAACAAGCUGACAGGAGGAUACGGUUUAAGAAUUUACAAGAUUUCUAACUGCCAAUAGGCCAGACAUCCUCAGGCAAGCACCUUCUCUCCCUGUAGGCAAGGUUAAUUAAACAUGCCAACUUAUUAGAAAAAAAAGAGGAAGGAAGGAAAUUAUGUUUCACAGCGCAUCUUAUAUAAGAGAUCAGAGCAAGAAUCAAAAGGUGUUCUGUGAGAAGAAAAAUGUACAAUAAUGGAAGACAGGCACUCUCUCAGACUGUACUCAAUUAAGGUAAAAGAGGACCAUUAAUGAGUCUCAGAACUACAGAGAGAAUAUAAAUGCAUAUUGGCUGGGCUGAAUAUAUAGACGUCAGCAGGUCCCAAGAGGCCUUGCCAUUCUGUUGUUACAUCUUUGACUGUUUCUGCUGUCAUGUAAGAAAAUCCAGCUGGACUACCUAAUGAAGAAACUGCAUGAUGAAAGCGGCUCACACAACAGCCAUCACCGAGGCACCAGACAGGAAUCCAGAAGUUUCUGCCAAAACCCACAGGGAGCAUGGAAGAUAGCUGAGGAGAGAGUCAGAGGCUUGCACUGAAGAGGCAGUGGCCAAGUGGCAUAAAGGAAGCUGAACCCACCACAUCAGAGACACCUGGCCCAGGGAGGUAGGCUGAGGCACAGGAGAGCUGCAGUGUCUCUCUCAAAGGGCCUUCCAUCCUAAAGAAAAUACUUCUGAACAAGGAUGUGCGUGUAUUUCCCGCCAUAUGUGGCACUAUGUAUUAUCUCUAUCUCAAAAUCAAUCAUUUCAUAUGUUUUAAUAAAAUUAUACAGUGAUUUAAUCACAACUGUAAAAUGUGUUAAUAAAAGAUAAUUGUAUACAUACAUUUUAAUGCACAAAUUAAAUUUCUGUAAAGGGAACUUUACUAACUGUGACAGUAGUCAAAGUUUAAUGUCCCAUGAAAAGGUUAAGAAUGUCAGGUUGGUUUUCACAGAAUAUUAACCUAUUGUACCAGAAAAUUAAAAUAAGAGAAAGAAUUAAAUAAAUAAGCUCACUAAUGGUA